rfam:Populus trichocarpa scaffold_1_contig_377, whole genome shotgun sequence.
UCUGGAACUCGAGAUAUGGGCUAAACACCGAACAGUGUCUGGGCUGCAGGACAAAUUCAGACUUGUCUUUUGUUACUAAGAUUUGAACUUGAAAACGGCAGUUUUGAAUUUAAACUCUUUAUGAAUGUUUUAGGUCUAUGUCUUAACUUUUCAUC